UGAGGAAUAUUGCACAAUGGAGGAAACUCUGAUGCAGCAACGCCGCGGUGGAGGAUGACGCAGUUUCGGUGUGUAAACUUCCUUUAUGAGUCAAGAAAAUGACGGUAGCUCAUGAAUAAGCACCGGCUAACUCCGUGCCAGCAGCCGCGGUAAUACGGAGGGUGCAAGCGUUAUUCGGAAUCACUGGGCGUAAAGGACGCGUAGGCGGGAAGCCAAGUCUGAUGUGAAAUCCUAUGGCUUAACCAUAGAACUGCAUUGGAAACUGGUUACCUAGAGUAUGGGAGGGGGAGAUGGAAUUAGUGGUGUAGGGGUAAAAUCCGUAGAUAUCACUAGGAAUACCGAAAGCGAAGGCGAUCUCCUGGAACAAUACUGACGCUAAGGCGUGAAAGCGUGGGGAGCAAACG
rnacentral:rRNA from 1 species